rnacentral:rRNA from 1 species
UACAGAGGCCCCGAGCGUUAGGCGGAAUCACUGGGCUUAAAGCGUGUGUAGGCGGACUUCUAAGUACCUUGUGAAAUCCCACGGCUUACCCGUGGAACGGCUGGGUAUACUGGGAGUCUUGAGCCACCUAGGGGCGAGUGGAACAAAUGGUGGAGCGGUGAAAUGCGUAGAUAUCAUUUGGAACGCCAAUGGUGAAAACAACUCGCUGGGGGUGUGCUGACGCUGAGACACGAAAGCCAGGGGAGCGAGCGGG